rnacentral:lncRNA from 1 species
UUAUUUUAAUUACUUUCAGUAGUUUGUUAAUCAAAUCAAUCUCAAACCCCCCAUUUUACUUUUACUACAAUUUAUUUUUAUUCCGCUUUCAGUUUAUCUCGUUUUCAGUUUUAUCUCGUUUCAGUUUUAUCUCGUUUCAGUUUAUCUCGUUUUCAGUUUUCUUCUUUUUCAGUUUAUUUUUGUUUCAGUUUAUUUUAUUGGUCUUGAUAAGGAAAAUAUAUAAGUCAUCAAUUCCCUGUGGAUUCGAUCCUUUCACCACUAUCUGCAGUUGUAAAUUGUUGAUAACCAGAAAGGUUAUUUUUGACCGGCUUCG